GUCGGUGACUACUUCAGUACCAAAUUCUAAGGGGGGAGCCCAGGGGACGAAAGGUGGGUCAGUACUGUUACUUACCGGAGCCUCAGAGUGUUCAGAAGAUGCGGUGGUGUGGGCCUGCUGCCGUGUUACCACGGGUAGCGCUUCCUGCGCGGGGUGCUGAGAAACAAAAGCGGAGGUCAGCUCCCCCAAGUCGUUACCCAGGAUGACAUCAGCUGGUAAGUCCUGCAUGAGGCCC